AACGAACGCUGGCGGCAGGCUUAACACAUGCAAGUCGAACGCACCUUUCGGGGUGAGUGGCAGAGGGGUGAGUAACGCGGGGGAAUCUACCCUUCUCUACGGGAUAGCUCCGGGAAACUGGAAUUAAUACCGUAUACGUCCUGAGGGAGAAGGAGUUAUCGGGGAAGGAUGAGCGCGGGUUGGAUUAGCUGGUUGGUGGGGUAAAGGCCGACCAAGGCGACGAUCCAUGGCUGGUCUAAGAGGAUGAUCAGCCACAUUGGGACUGCGACACGGACCAAACUCCGACGGAGGGCAGCAGUAGGGAAUAUUGGGCGAGGGACGCAAGCGUGACCCAGCCAUGCCGCGUGAGUGAUGAAGGCCCUAGGGUUGUAAAGCUCUUUCAGUGGGGACGAUAAUGACGGUACCCACAGAAGAAGCCCCGGCUAACUUCGUG
rnacentral:rRNA from 1 species